rnacentral:rRNA from 1 species
CCUACGGGAGGCAGCAGUGAGGAAUAUUGGUCAAUGGGCGGAAGCCUGAACCAGCCAAGUAGCGUGAAGGAUGACGGCCCUACGGGUUGUAAACUUCUUUUAUAAGGGAAUAAAGUGAGUCACGUGUACCUUUUUGCAUGUACUGUAUGAAUAAGGAUCGGCUAACUCCGUGCCAGCAGCCGCGGUAAUACGGAGGAUCCGGGCGUUAUCCGGAUUUAUUGGGUUUAAAGGGAGCGUAGAUGGGUUGUUAAGUCAGUUGUGAAAGUUUGGGGCUCAACCGGAAAAUUGCAGUUGAUACUGGCAGGCUUGAGUACAGGUGAGGUAGGCGGAAUUCGUGGUGUAGCGGUGAAAUGCUUAGAUAUCACGAAGAACUCCGAUUGCGAAGGCAGCUUACUAAAC